GGCGUAAGACGCAUGCAGGCGGCCUGUUAAGUCAGAUGUGAAAGACCCGGGGCGUUAACCUCGGAAUUGCAUUUGUAAACUAGGCAGGCUAGAGUCUUGUAGAGGGGGGUAGGAAGUUUCUAGGUGUAGCGGUGAAAUAGCGUAGAGAUCUGAAGGAAUACCAGUGGCGAAGGCGGCCCCCUCGGACAAAGACUGACGCUCAGAUGCGAAAGCGUGGGGAGCAAACAGGAUUAGAUACCCUGGUAG
rnacentral:rRNA from 1 species